UACAGAGGUCUCAAGCGUUGUUCGGAUUCAUUGGGCGUAAAGGGUGCGUAGGCGGCGCGGUAAGUCGGGUGUGAAAUCUCGGGGCUUAACUCCGAAACUGCAUUCGAUACUGCCGUGCUUGAGGACUGGAGAGGAGACUGGAAUUUACGGUGUAGCGGUGAAAUGCGCAGAUAUCAGGAGGAACACCGGUGGCGAAGGCGGGUCUCUGGGCAGUAACUGACGCUGAGGAGCGAAAGCGUGGGGAGCGAACAGG
rnacentral:rRNA from 1 species